GUAAAUAAUAAAAGAAAAAAACAGAAUUAAUGUCUGAAUUAAUGUCAAUCAAUGUAAAAAAAUAAUAAUAAUAAGUUAAUAAUUUAGUUACAGUGAUAACAAGAAUGAGCUGCCUUGCGUUCAACUUAGCGACCAACUAUUCCUAUCAUUUAAAUAAUCAUUAAUGCUAUAAUAAGCCUUCUUUGAAAGAAUUAACUUUACUUGUAAUUUAAAUGCAUGAAACGGUAAUUGUAGUAAAGUGAGAGGUAGUUUAUUGUAAAAGCGGAUACCGAGCCCCAAAAAUGAUCCAUGAACCUUAUGAAGUCUGUGAGUGGGUACACACAGUUUGUGCUUGUUUCUAGUGUUAAUACUGUGAACAUCGCUUUUUUUGGUGUACAAAUGAAUAUUUUGCCUAAUGUAAAGUAUAUUGGCAUAGAUAAAUUGUGAUGCCACAGUAAGAAUGCCUAUUUCUUUAAAGAGCUCUCUUAGCGAAUGUCUACUACCUAACCGGUAUAUAGCACGAACAGCUCGUUUUUGUAAUAUAAAUAUGUUUUGAAUAUCAGCAGCUUUGCCCCACAGAAGAAUACCGUAGGACAUAACGCUGUGAAAGUAGCUAAAAUAGACUACUCGAGCUGUUUCUACGUCAGUGAUUUGUCUUACUUUUCUGACGGCGUACGCAGCUGAGCUAAGCCUUCCCGCGAGGCCAGCUAUAUGCGAGCCCCACUGAAGUCUGCUAUCGACUGAUAUACCAAGAAAUACUGUGAAUUCGACAGUUUCUAGAACCUCGUUACUUAAUAUAAUAUUCGGGCCUAGGUUUUUCACGUUCGGUAGAGUAAAUUUAAGGCAUUUUGUUUUCUUCGCAUUUAAUACCAAGUUGUUAGUACUAAACCAGUGUGUAACCAACGAAAGUGCACUGUUUACGUCGUUAAAUUGAUCCCUAUUUCUGUCGACUUUAAAAAUAAGUGAAGUGUCAUCUGCAAACAGUACAACGUCACAGAUAUUAUAAUAAGUUGUCUGAUAGCCACGUUGAUCCAACAAAAACAAAAAUGAAAGUGAAAUUCGCCAGCCAAGUAUUCAGUAGAACUGUUUCUUCAACAAUGGGAUACCUUGCAGAUAACGGAAUCCUUCCAGCAGAAUGCAACGAAACUGCAGAUAUCCUGCUAUUUUUUGACAACCUAUUUGAUUCCGUCAAUGGCAGUUUAAAAAAAAACAGGUUUACAAAACCUCUUUUAGGACCUGUAACACCAACCUCAAAACACCAUGAGUUUUGAGCAGAAUGCAAAAAAGUGCUAAAAUCAAUGAAAGUUAUCACGGAAAAAAAUAAAAUUGCCUCUGUACCUAGCAUUAAUAAUUGGGUAUGGACACUGGAAGGUAUAGAAAUCUGUUUUUUAAACAAAUAUAAACAAAUUCAAAAGAACGUAUGUAAAAAUCUACAGCUCUCUAUGUAAGCGCUUUAUAUGAAAACUAGCUAAUGACCAAACGUUCGCGUAGCGGAAACUUGAAUUUCUCCGAAGUUUAUGCAUGCACUGAUUUCAUUCAUACAUAAAUAAUUAUACACAAAUACACACAAAUUUUUGGACACAUCUCUUUUCUUCUAAAGUCUAUUGAUUAAAAAAAGUUCCGCCAGGACAACGUUUGCCCAGCGGAAUCUGUUUUUGGUGAAUUUCUCCACAAUGGCUGCGUACACAAAUUUUUAUUUACCAUACACAAUCAUAGAAAGUCUUACACUAAUUAUCUGCAUAAUUAAAAUCUUUAAAUUCAACAACAUUCCGCUGCGCGAACGCACACGACGAAGAGUCAAUA